GAUGAACGCUGGCGGCGUGCCUAAUACAUGCAAGUCGAGCGGUAAGGCCUCUUCGGAGGUACACGAGCGGCGGACGGCUGAGUAACACGUAGGAACGUACCCCAAACUGAGGGAUAAGCACCAGAAAUGGUGUCUAAUACCGCAUGUGCUCUAAGGAGUAAAGCUUCGGCGGUUUGGGAGCGGCCUGCGUCCGAUUAGCUUGAUGGUGAGGUAAUGGCUCACCAUGGCGACGAUCGGUAGCUGGUCUGAGAGGAUGAUCAGCCAGACUGGGACUGAGAACGGCCCAGACUCCUACGGGAGGCAGCAGUAGGGAAUUUUCCACAAUGGGCGAAAGCCUGAUGGAGCAACGCCGCGUGCAGGAUUAAGGCCUUCGGGUUGUAAACUGCUUUUAUUUGUGACGAAUAUGACGGUAGCAAAUGAAUAAGGAUCGGCUAACUCCGUGCUAGCAGCCGCGGUAA
rnacentral:rRNA from 1 species